CCAGGGUGCUCAUUUAAAAGGCACAUUCUCAGGCCCUGUCCCAGAACUACUGAAUCAGAAUCUCUGGGCAUGGGGUCUAGGAAUCUGCAUUUUUACGCUGAACACUCACCCC
rnacentral:miRNA from 1 species